UUAGUAAACAUGAAAGACAAGAAUAAAAAAAAUCACCAAAGAUAAAUAACACAAUGACGAGAUGUAUUAGUACAGAGCCACGUCAUGUGUAACAAAGAAACACAACAAGUACUAUAAAACAAAGCACUUAAGCAAAAACGAAAAAAAAAGAAUUCAAAAUUUACCAUAGCACAAUAACACAAUGACAGGUAUACAAUGUAGAGGUACAGACUACACAGUAAAAGUAAUAUCCAUAAGGACAAAUAAAACAAUAAUAUAACAUGUAUAUCACGUUGUUAAGAUGCGCAUAACAUCAAAACCCAGAAUCUAUACUUCAAGACCGUCGUGUAUUAUUUGUAAAGUUGAUAUGAAAUAUUUAUCAACAAGGUCUUGGUACCUUUCGAAGAAUUGUUUUAGAAAAAGGGCCAGACGUUCUUUGACAUACCCUUUGUUCAUCAACUAUCUGCUCAGACACUUGUGACGUUUAAAAGUAGCAGCCUGCAAGCUAUUGAAUAGCGAAUAAGUUGGGAAAUAUAUGUAACACUCCCAAACGUGUCUUGCCCCUACGUGUCCGAUCCCCAAAACGUGUCUGAUCCCCCCAAACGUGUCCGUAAUUAUCAAAAGUUGCGUAACCAAAUUAGAGCUAAUACAGAUAAUAAAGAUAAAUCACGAAACAGACCACAGGAAAAAUGAUACAAUCUAUGAGACAAUUAGACAUGCUGUUUUUCCCGUAGGACGAGAGAGUAUAGAAAUGCUAUUCAAAAAUGAAAUUAACUGCUCUAGCUGUAAUGCAGCUGUGGAACUCCCUAAAAAAACAAGGACUAGAAAACCAAUUCUAGCCACUUACCCAAAUAGUCGGUGGCAGAUUGACUUGAAGAAAAUGCCUUGUUACAAAGGAUAUAAUUACGUCUGCAACAUUCUAGACUGUUAUUCCAGGUUUGCGUUUGGAUGUGCUAGAAAAACCAAAACGGCAAAGGAAAUUGCUGACAUUGUCUUAAAAUUUAUUAACCUUUAUGGUGCACCGCGUAUAUUACAAUCGGAUAAUGGUAAAGAAUUCACCAAUAAGGAUCUAGAAGGAGUCGUUGAGGAGUUUAAGUCAAAACAAAUACAUGGCAGACCGUACCAUCUGCAGAGUCAAGGAAGAGUAGAGAGAUUUAACAGGACAAUGACCACAUGUUUUCGUGUAAAAAUGAGCACUGUAAAAGAUUGGGUUGAAGAACUUCCACAUUUCUACUAUACCUACAACAAAAGAGUUAAUUCAGUAACCAAGCCGUUAACUCCUUAUCAAAUGUAUUUCAAAAGACCAAAUUUUGCUACACCGGUGGAGGAACAGAUACCAUACCAAAAUUUAACUGAAGAAGAAAGAUUGUUUUUAAGAAACGCUCAUCUUGAUGUUGACGACGAAGUAGAAAAUGAGAGUGAAAUCAAACCAGAAAAUAAUCAGCAGGAGAAUAUUAUGGAUACGGCAACUGAUGAGAACGAUGACCAGAUAUCAUUAGAAGAAACAUUACAACUACUCGAUGACAUCGCCUCGCCUACCAAGGAUAUAACUGAAGACCAAACUAAUCAAAUUAUCUCGCAACAAGAUUGUAUGAUGGAAGAUAAAGUACCUAAAAAGAAUAUAGUGUGUGUACCCCGAGUAUAUUAACAAACACAUUUUUUUUUAUCUAUAACCAAAUUAAUUAUAAUGGAUUUUUUCUUGCAUUUUCACUUUACUUUUUAAUGAUCUAACCAUCUGUUAUCAUAUAUUGAGCAUUUCAAUCUUUAAACAUGUUUUUGGCUAAAUAGUUGUAUGACCACUGUUUGUGACCUAUAUUACUACAUGUAUAAUAUUAAACAACGCCAAUAAAAAAAAACGAAAAUACAUUGUUUCAGUACGCUUGUUUUUUAAUGCUGAACUGAUUUGUAUUGGUAUACUCAAUAAAUAAUACUGAUUUUGAACUAAUAUGUUGAAUACUAAUAUUUUUGUAGGAAAUAAGUUUAACAAGUGAAAACGUGCAGAGCUGCCAAGUAUAAGUAAUGGAAGAGAAAGAAAACCAGGUGGUACAAAAUAACACAGCUUCCCCUUACUACAGUGAAAUGUAUAGAAAAAGAUUUGGAAGACCCCCAUCUUUAAUAAGCGCAGAAAGUCCAAGCAAAAGGAUCCAUUUACAGGAAACUAAUGGGAACCAGUCCACACAUGGAUUUUUCAACACUGGUAUCACGCAAUAUUUUGAUAGUGAACAAAUGUAUCCCGUUGAAUUGUUUGGUAAAAACUCCCUGGACGAUAUGACCAGCUACAUGUUUUAUAAUGAAGGAGAUAUAGUUGACUACAGAACCAAUCCUGCUAUGAACAAAGGGACUGCGGUUUUUAGCAGCGGUUUCUGGAGAAGAGGUGUAGUGAUACGAAUAGAUAAGUGUCCUAGACUAGGCACGCUUUCCACUGUUAAAGAUGACAUAAAAGACUUCUGUUUUCAAAUAAACAGACACCAGAUACGAAUAGCAAAAUAAAAAUGUAUUUUUUCUA